CUGGAUUGUAAACAAACAGUAGGAGUUUCUUUCCACAGUGGAAGGGAGAAUAAUGAGAAGAAGGAUGCAGAAGAGAGGGGAAAGUUGAAAGUAGCUGAUAUGGGACCACAGAAUAUUGGCCAAUCAAUUGUAAUGACUAUACUUAUACCUAAACAAGUAAUAAAUAAAUGCAUUUGGCUUCCUUACCUUGAGUAUUGAAUCAACAUUUGAAAACAAAGUAAUCAACCUUUGGCAAUUUGUCCUUCAGAGAGAGAAAAACUCCCUUAGAAACCCAUAUUAAAAGAAACGUGCACAUGUAUCCCAGAACUUAAAGUAAAAUAAAAAAUAAAAGAAAAGAAAAGAAACAUGGGGAAAAAGGAGCAAGAGGAAGUUGAGAAGAAAAUUCAAGAAGGUGGUGCUACAAGGGCUUCUCAAUUUUGUACUUUUUCCUUUCAACAUUUUCUCUCCUGGACCCAAGAAACAUCAAAGGACUUUGUAUUCUCCAGUGAAUGAAGGAUAAAAAUUAGACAUGGAGACACUUGGUUUGGCAGAGCAGGGAUCCAAGCUAGAUAAAUUACAUUCCAGAAGUGGGAUUUCAGAUAACAUUCAGCGUGGAGUGCAGGAGUUGAAAUGGUGAGGGUAAACAAGGAGACAAGUUCAAAGAUGACAAGCCUGAAGACCGUGAGUUAAGAUCAUAGAGCCACAGACCAGAAGCAGCCUGCAUCCCUGAAUCCCAGUACGGAAUAAAGUGUCACCUGAACUGCUUCAGACUUUGUGGGAAUGAGAAACAAACCUUCCUUUUAGUGCUAUGUGACCUACCGUAGUUACCUUGCUGAACUCAUCUGGCUCUACUCUCUACCUCCCUACUUCUCUUGAGUCCCGUUAGCCAGCACACCUGGAUCCUCCACAUCUGAGCACCAUCUGCUCCUUUAUUCUGCCUAAAAUGUACUUCCUCAAAUCUCUGUAUGGCUGGCUCCUUAAUAUAAGUCUGCUCACUAUAAAAUGGCAUUUCUGACCUAGCACCCUUUUAAACAUAACUGCUGACCUUCCUCCCUCUACUUUCUAUCAUUAAACUCUAUUAUUUUAGAUCAUUUACUUAUCACUAUGUGAAAUCAUAUGAUUUAUCUUGUUUCUGUUUGUCUUUUCCCCCCAGAUAGAAUGUAAACUUGAUGAGGGUAGGAACUAUUUAUGUCUUAGUUAACGUUGUUUCCCUAGCACCUAGCCUGGUGCCUAGCACAUAGUAAAUAAUAAAUGUGUAUUAAUGAAUGAAUAGCUAUUGAUGUUAAAGAGACAUUCUUGAAUUUAGGUCGAUGUCUGUAAUCAUUACACCAUUG
rnacentral:lncRNA from 1 species